rnacentral:rRNA from 1 species
AGCCGUAAACUUAGACAUUUUAAUACAGUAAAAUGUCCGCCAGGGUACUACAAGCACUAGCUUAAAACCCAAAGGCCUGACGGUGUCUCAGAUCCAUCUAGAGGAGCCUGUUCUAAAACCGAUAACCCCCGUUUAACCUCACCACUCCUAGCCAUCACAGCCUAUAUACCGCCGUCGUCAGCUUACCCUGUGAAGGAAAAAAAGUAAGCAGAAUAGAUAUAAUCAAGAACGUCAGGUCGAGGUGUAGCGCAUGAAGUGGGAAGAAAUGGGCUACAUUUUCUAACACAGAAAACUACGAAUAUGCACCAUGAAACAGUGCUUAAAGGAGGAUUAACAGUAAGAGGAAAUAG